UUUUGAGUCCAGAAUUCCAAGGUUCAACUAAAGAAAAUUCGAUAUGUUCUUGCAGUUCAUCUCGUGGUAGAUUCGGAUGAUUUGGUAUUUUUUGUUUGCUAGUAACUUUGAUUUUUUGGCAAAUACCUUGAAUGAAAUCUCCAAGCGGAACCAAUUAUUUUAAACCGUCACUCCGUGCAUGUCAACGAGACGUAUAUAUAAGGUUAGCAAUAAUUCAUGUUGCUUGCGUUCCAUUGACUGGACUCGGGCUGUCGCGAGGAACGAGAGCUCUACAUUUUCCUUGGACCGACACUUAAGACCCGAAGGUCGUCCUCCAUCUUGUGUCGCAGCUGCCUCGCUUCCUGUUUCGUCGACGUGAAAUGGUCAUUAAGAAUCUGAAACUUGGCGAGUGCAUCCGACUUUCUCUCAUCCAAAUUCUUUUGCUCCAUCAGUU